rnacentral:misc_RNA from 1 species
AUCAACAUGUCGCCCUUCGGUGCUGUGUGUCGUGCGUUGGCGAAGCACGGUGUGGAGGUCUUUUGUCCAGAAAAUCUGUUCUUUGGACUCGUUUUGAACACAGCUGCAGAAGAAGAAGAAUUCACCCAUUAACCAUCACAAGGUCAAGGAUGACCAGCUAAUUGUGACGAACACAAGGCUGCAGGCAGAGCAACACAGAGUACUUUGGACAGAGAACAUCAGCAGCAAAAGCUCUUAAGAUGAAUCAAUUUCAAGAACAUUAUCAGCAGUGGAUGCUGCAGCAGAUGAUGUUUCAACAGAACAUGCAGCUCCAAGCACAACAGCAAAUGCAAGGGACGGGAUACGAACUACUGUUUGCUUUACGGGAAAGACGAAUGGACUUCAAUGACCAGCUCCAAAAGUGGGAGAGGGAUUUUAAACAGUGGAAAGAUGACCACCUGGGCCAUCCUAAUAAAGAACAGUUUAAUAGAUACCUUGAGCAAUGGAAAGGCUGGCAGAUGCAGAUGGAAAACACACUGAGGGAUAUCCAGAAGCAGAUAGUAAAUGAGGAAGAUGCAAUUCGAGUAAGGGGAAUGGCUGUACCUCCUGAGCAGUCCCGCCCCAAAAAUCGUGGAAAAGACAAAGGGCAAAGUAAAAACUCAGGAAUGGGCCCAGGCAUGAGUUCAGGUAUGGGACCAGGCAUGGGUUUAGGUAUGGGUCUGAGCAUGGGUUCAGGUAUGGGCCCAGGCAUGGGUUCAGGUAUGGGUCUAGGUAUGGGUCAAGGUAUGGAUCCAAGCAUGGGUCAAGAUAUUGGUCCAGGGAUGGGUUCAUUUAUGGGUCCUGGUAUGGGUUCUAGUAUGGGUGUGGGUCCAGGCAUGGUUCCAGGCAUGAGUCCAGUCGUAGGCUUAGAUAUGGGUCCAGGAAUGGGGUCAGGCAUGGGCCCAAAUAUGGGACCAGGUCAGGGUCCAGGCAUGGGUCCAGGGAUGGGCCCUGAAAUGGGUCCUGGAGCUGGAAUGAAUGUGGGCAUGGGUCCUGGUGUGGAUUCAGGUAUGCAACCUGGUGUUGGACCAGGAGUACGUCCAGGCAGUGGUCCUGGCAAAGUAGGUCACCGUGGUCCAGGAGGUUCCAGAGGGGGUGAUCCAAGAAGAUCAGGACCGGGGGAUUUAGAAAGAAUGGGUCCAGAUAGAAUUGGUCCAAGGGAUUCGAAUGAAAGGGGUCCAAGAGGCCCAGCUGGAAUCCCUCCUAGAGGUCCAAGAGGAAUGGGUCCUGGAAUAAUGGGUCCUGGUGACAUGGAACCAGGAGGCCCUGGUUCAUUUGGCCCAAGGGGCCUGCCUGGCCCUGGAACAAUGGAUGGUCCACGCAUGGGUCCAAGAGGUCCCAGGGAAAUGGGCCCAAGGUUUGCCAGUGGAAAAGGUCCAGAGAAAAUAGGACCAAGGGGUCCUGUUGGAAGAGGUCCAAGAGGACCUGAUCAAAUGGGUCCAAGAGGUCCAAGUGGAAUUGGUCCAAGAGGUCCUCUAGAAAUGGGUCCAUUGGGUCCUGGUAAUGUGGGUCCAAUUGGUCCAGGUGACAUGGGCCCUAUUGGAUUGGGUUCAGGUGGCAUUGGUCCAAGAGGUCCUGAUGGAAUGGGCACAGUUGGUCCUGAUAGAUUCGGCCCAAGGGGUCCUGGUAUUAUAGGACCUCGAGGCCCUGGACCUAUGGAACCCAGAGUUCCAGCUGAAAUGGGCCCAACAGGUCUCAGAGGGUUUCAAGGACCAGAGCAUGGCAUGGGUCCACCUGGUAGUGGUCCGCAGGCAGUGGACAGUGGUAUAGAUAUGAAUCCAAGUGGCAUAAAGCCUGGGGUCAUGGAUCGUCAAGGAUUUGGAGGACCAAGUGUGGAUUUCCACAUGAGAAACCCCAACGAAAUGGGAAUGCAAGGGGCAUUACCUCAAGGAAUGGACCAAACAAUGGGUGCACAGGGGAUGUGGCAGCAAGGAAUGCCACUGCCAGGAAUGGGACAACUUGACACUGAACAGAACGCAAUGAUGGCACAAACUAUGGGACCUCUAGGAAUGGGGCCAGUGGGAGUGAUGGCCCAAGGUACAGCUGCUCGUGUACAUCCUGCACCGGAGCCCCCGGUAGUAGUUGUACCAAGCAAGCCAUCCAAAGGAAACACCACAAAAGACAAGGCCAAGACUGAUUUAGCCCCACCAGGUGUGGACUUUUUCUCACCACCUACCAUUGGCCCUCCUCCUAAGAUACCUCCGGCAAAGCCUGAGACAGAAGACGCUAAAUCUGCCGUUGGCACUGAGAAGUCCGAGAGAGAAGAUGCUGACAAGAUAUCUGCCUGGCCACCUACAUCCCAGGAUGGUAAAGUCCCUUUGAAAAAGUACCCAUCUGUGAAAAAAGAAGCACCCCUCAUAAUAAAACCACCUCCAGAUCAGACUGAAAAAUCUGCAACAAAGCAGUCUGUGGCAAUCCCUAAAGAGGAGCCUGAGAAAUCACCAGCCACUACCAAUAAGUUCAAGGAAAAUAGCAAAGUAGAGAAGCCUGAAUCUACUGCUAAGUCUGAUGACACCAAAGUGGCACCAAAUGACGAUGUUGUCAUUGUUCAAGAAGCUUCUAGACGUGACUCUGAGAAGGUAGAAACUGGCAGCAAGGUUAAAAAAGAAAUCAGUGCAAGUGUAAAGGACAAGUAUAACUCCUUAAAACUGGAGGAGGACGCUCAAAAGGAUGCGCAAUCGUACAUCAAACUGAGCAAGAAGAACUACACUUCAAUCUUUCCUCUUCGAAAUCGUGACCGUUUCCGGCGAAGGGUCAGUAAGAGUAAGAGCAAAAGUAGGAGUCGCAGCAGAAGCCCCCACAAAAUUAAUCGGAGCAGAAGCCGUAGCCGCAGCAAGAGCAGAAAUUGGAGCAAAAACCGAAGCCGUAGCAGAACUAGGAGCCGAAGCAGGAGCAGGAAUCAAAGCAGAAACCUCAGCCGAAGUAAGAGCAGAAGCAGGAGCAGAAAUCGGAGCAAAAACCGAAGUCGGAGUAGAAGCCAAGGCAGAAAUUGGAGAAGGAACAGAAGUCGGAGCAGGACUAGGAGCAGGAGUCGGAGUCGUAGCAGAAGUAGGGGCCGUGAUAGGAGUCGUCGGAGCUGGGAACGUGGUCAUGGUUAUGGCCGAGAUCGUGGUCGCAAUAAGAGUCCUUACCGAGGGGGCAACAGGAUUCCUUUUAGGGGUCGUUACAAGAGUCCUGAUAGAAGCCGUUUGAGAAGUCCAAAUCGGGAUCCUCUAACCAGGAAAGAGCCAUUCCAGAAAGAACCAUUGGAGAGGCCCAGUGGCAGGCAGGCUGAGCUACCGAGGAGCUACAGGCUUGACUCGCCACCCCGAUCAGAGCCUCUGGCAACGCAACCAGUGAGCGCCACUUCAGUGCAGGAACUCAGUGAAAGGGAGCAUGACAUUAUCCGCAAAGCAGCACAGGAAUUGAAAAUGAUCCGAGAACAGCAGAAGAAGUUACUGCCAGGAGGUCCAGAGGGAGAGGCAGCUCCAUUACCAGACAUGCUGGUUGACAGACUUGCUCCAGAGCGUAGGAGCCCAGAGAGAAUUGAGAGAGAGAGAAACCCAGAGCUUGAGAGACCUGAGAGAAUGCUGCAUCCAAUGGACAGGCCGGGACCAGACAGGUACAGGGGUGGCAAUGAACCGGGAAGAUUCCAUCCAGAUGACUUGCCUCGUUACCGCGAAGAAGAGGCCUACCCACCCAGGGGUGAAUUCUACGACAGGGAAGGCGUGUACAGGAGAGGGCCUCCCCGCUAUGCCGACGACCCAUACAUCGCUGAUCGGUAUGCAGAAGGCCCUUAUCGCCCCUACCCACCGGAAGAUUGGGAGUACGAAGAAAGGACCCGCAUCGGGAGGCUGCGUGAUAUUGAGAGGAGAUUGGACAUGGAACUUGGGUUUGGACGGGAUCGAUAUGAUUUUGACAGACGUGACCCAGGUAGAGGUUAUGAUAGGGACUUGGACUACCCCAGACAUCGUGCAGUGGAGCCAAGGGGUCUUGAGGCAGUGGAUGGAAAGAUAGUCAAGAGCUUUGACUAUGGUCACGGUCAAGGAGGAGACUCACCUCGCGCAGAGCAAAGAUAUGACCGAGGAGAUGAUCGUUUUGAUGCUCGAGAUACAAGAAUGCUGGAGAGGUAUCCAGAAGAGUUGAGCCACAAACCUGAAUUCUAUGAUGAAAGGGAUCCUAAUAGAUUUGGCCAAGAUCCACCUGGCAGAGACUUUGGGCCUGAUGACAGAAAGCCAGGCCGCUUUGACCCUGACCAUGAUCGAUAUGAGAGGGCUCCUGGACGGAUGGAUCCUGAAGGCAGUGCCGGGCCGUACGGAGAACAGCCAGGACGACCUUAUGAGGGCAGGCAGGAAGGGCCCCAGGACAUGGAACGUAGGGAUUAUGAUCGCCCGAUGCAGCUGCGAGAUGAGCCUGGCCAACCGGACUGGCAGCAGCAGCAGCAACGGAGAUUUGAACCGCAGCUGCACCGAACUGACCGGGAAGAUCGCCAGUUUGGCCAGGAAGCUCCACGUUAUGGCAACGAACCUAGGCAUUGUGAUCAAGAGGUGGCUGGUCAAAGAGGAGAUCCUUUCGAAUCUGAUGACAGCAUGUUUGUGUCUACAAGUUACCCAACAACAAUGGGUGAAUAUGACAGUCCUCACACUGGGGAGGAACAUCCGCCUCUACAAGUUUAUCCCCCACCCCCACCACCUCCACCAUCUGCUGAUGAACCCAAACCGAAGAGUGUCCCGAUUGAGGACUUGCUGAAGAAUCCGGGCCGUAGUCAACGGCCCAAGCAGAUCGUUAUCAUUCUGAGAGGACCCCCAGGAAGUGGCAAAACUUAUGUUUCCAAGCUCAUCAAGAAUCUAGAGACAAAGAUGGGAGGUCAAGUACCUCGGAUGCUGUGCCUGGAUGACUACUUCAUGACUGAAGUGGAAAGGAUGGAGACAGACCCAGAAACAGGGAAGAAGUUCCUCCUCAAGGUUCUCGAGUACGAGUACGAGGCCGUGAUGGAGAUAGCCUACCGCACUAGCCUCCUGAAGUCCUUCAAGAAGACAGUAGAUGAUGGCUUCUUUGAUGUCAUCAUAGUGGAUGCCAUCAAUGACAAGAUGCAGUAUGUGGUCCCCUUCAGAAACUACAGCAAGCUCAAAGGGUUUGAGGUGUUUGUUGUAGAAAUGAUGGCUGAUGCCGCAACCUGCAACAAACGAGACACUCAUAAUCGUGGCCUGGCUGAAAUACAAAAGAUUAUUCGCAGCUUUGAACCUCUGCCUGCCGACUACACCCGACUGGAUGUGCGUUCUCUCCUACAAGAUGAUUGCAUUGAGGAGGUGGAGAUGGAGGAUUUUGAUGAGGAGGCAGAGGCAGCAGCCAGACCAAAAGAGGAGGAGGAAGAUGAAGAUGACGAGGGUCUGACAAACUGGAUGGUGUACGAGCCUACAACAAGCGGAAGCAUUCGGCGGAGCAGUCACGGGUCCAGAGUAUGGAGGACUUCUUGAGUAUGUCUGAGUACGCACAAGACACUCCCAGGGAUCCUAAUGCCAAGCGGGUGCGUUGGGCCGACAUUGAAGAGAAAAAGGACCAGGAACGAAAGCGGGCCCUGGGCUUUGUUGUUGGCCAGACGGCCCAGGACUGGGCCA